rnacentral:lncRNA from 1 species
CCAUCCUGCUGAGACUUAUUACAUGAACAAGUUGGGCCUGGACGCCUUGAAGGUGGUCUUGAGCUUCCUGGUGGGUGGCCUCACCUUGCGGUACACGAGCGGGAACUUGAUCUUGGAGUUGUGGAACUGCUUGGUGUUGUCCCUCUUGCACAGCUUGAAGUGGACCGUCGCCGUCUUGAUGAUCUGGAUGCAGGGGGCCCUCACACGGUGGCGGGAGGCCAUCUCAUUGUACAUCUGCUCCACGGCACCGUUCAGGGUGGUGUCACGGU